rnacentral:rRNA from 1 species
GUAGCUGGUCUGAGAGGAUGGCCAGCCACACUGGAACUGAGACACGGUCCAGACUCCUACGGGAGGCAGCAGUGGGGAAUAUUGGACAAUGGGGGCAACCCUGAUCCAGCAAUGCCGCGUGUGUGAAGAAGGCCUGAGGGUUGUAAAGCACUUUCAGUGGGGAGGAGGAUUGAUAGGUUAAGAGCUAGUUAAUUGGACGUUACCCACAGAAGAAGCACCGGCUAACUCCGUGCCAGCAGCCGCGGUAAUACGGAGGGUGCGAGCGUUAAUCGGAAUUACUGGGCGUAAAGGGUGCGUAGGUGGUUUAUUAAGUUAUCUGUGAAAUCCCUGGGCUUAACCUGGGCAGGUCAGAUAAGACUGGUUGACUCGAGUAUGG